AACAUAGGUUCCGAGCGUUAUCCGGAUUUACUGGGCGUAAAGCGCGUUCAGGCGGUUUGGCAAGUCGGGCAUGAAAUCUCUCGGCUCAACCGGGAGAGGUUGUCCGAUACUGCUGGACUUGAGGGCAGUAGAGGGUGGUGGAAUUCCGGGUGUAGUGGUGAAAUGCGUAGAUAUCGAGAGGAACACCGGUGGCGAAGGCGGCUUCCUGGACAGCUACUGACGCUGAGACGCGAAAGCGUGGGGAGCAAACAGG
rnacentral:rRNA from 1 species